rnacentral:misc_RNA from 1 species
GAAAUGCGAUAAGUAGUGUGAAUUGCAGAAUUCAGUGAAUCAUCGAAUCUUUGAAUGCACAUUGCGCUUCCUGGAAUCCCGGGGAGCAUGCCCAUUUCAGAAUCAAUUAAAUCAUCUCCAGCUUCGACGUGUUGGCCGCAACCUUGAACAGGAGGAGUGUGGACCCUUUGCAAUCAUUGCAAUGGUCUGUAAUUCAUUGUAUGCACUGCAAUCACCGCAUUGGUUGGCAAUCGAUCAGCAACAGAUUUUUCUAUUUCUGCGUGGUUGACAAUCGAUGUUGGUUCCAGGGCAUUCAUCUACAUACCCAUACGGAACUCAUGGCUCUGCCAUGGAUUCUGAGAACUUGGUCUGAAAUUGGCAAGAAAACCCGCUGAACUUAA